AAACGCUCAUUCUCUUCUAAAUCCCAAAUCCUAAUCUUCUUCUUUCUUUUUUUUUCUAUUUUUUUUCUCUUAGCACUAUUUAUUUUUUCCGACACCUCUCGUCAACAACGUAACGGUUCUCGGUGGCCGUUGUCGACGCCAUCGCUAAUCUCUUCCAUCCUCCGCCGUCAGAUUUACCUCUACUCCUCUCCGUUCGAAUUCACACUAUCCUUUCCUUUUUUUUCUCUUUCUCUUUCUCCACCGCAACACACUCAACUCUAGGCAAGGAGAAAGAAAAGACCGAAGCUCUUGGGGAGGUGUUGAAUGGCGAUCACCUUGUUAGUACUCCUUAUUUAAUUUCCGAUUAGAGAAAGACGCCAAGCUUGUAUGUAUUGGUGAAUGCUUGUGAGAAGCUUAGAAUAUCAUGGAAAUUACCAAUGGUGUAUCCUCAAAGUGGAGAAUCUAUUGCUCAACUUCUUUAAUGUAUCAUGUGAGAUGGUUCAACAUUAUCAGGUGAUAAAAACUGUUUUUGUUUACCAUCAAGCUAAAAUCGUUUGUCUUGAUGUGUAUGAACUUUUAGGAACUAAUUUUCUGAUAUGCAAUGUAAUGAUUUGUCUUC